rnacentral:rRNA from 1 species
UACGGAGGGUGCGAGCGUUGUCCGGAAUCAUUGGGCGUAAAGGGCGCGUAGGUGGCCCGGUCAGCGUGCGGUGAAAGCUCGGGGCUCAACCCCGAGUCGGCCGUGCGAACUGCUGGGCUUGAGCACUGUAGAGGCAGGCGGAAUUCCGGGUGUAGCGGUGGAAUGCGUAGAUAUCAGGAGGAACACCGGUGGCGAAGGCGCACAUCUGGCCCGAUACUGACGCUGAGGCGCGAAAGCUAGGGGAGCAAACGGG